UUUAAUUGAAGAGUUUGAUCAUGGCUCAGAUUGAACGCUGGCGGCAGGCCUAACACAUGCAAGUCGAGCGGUAACAGAAAGUAGCUUGCUACUUUGCUGACGAGCGGCGGACGGGUGAGUAAUGCUUGGGAAUAUGCCUUUUGGUGGGGGACAACAGUUGGAAACGACUGCUAAUACCGCAUGAUGUCUACGGACCAAAGUGGGGGACCUUCGGGCCUCACGCCAAAAGAUUAGCCCAAGUGGGAUUAGCUAGUUGGUAAGGUAAUGGCUUACCAAGGCAACGAUCCCUAGCUGGUUUGAGAGGAUGAUCAGCCACACUGGGACUGA
rnacentral:rRNA from 1 species